AUUUAGUACCACAAUCUCCACCGACUUAGACCAAGAACAGCCUUGGAUUUCAUGGUUGGCAGAUUGCAAGGCCAACAGAGGAAGAGCUUUCCAGCAUCAAAUUUCCACCAAAACAUGAGCUCUGCAAGGCCAGGGACUGAGACUAUUUGCUUACCACAUAAUGCUUGGCACACAACAGGUAGUCAACACUUAUUUUUGGAAGGGAAGGAGCAACAAGACAUUACAAAGAUCCCAGAGGGGCCCAAGCCAUAGGCAAGAUGACCUCUUGGUGGGGAUAUCGCCAAGAGAAGCCUGGCAUUCCUGGGGACCGGGGAUCUAGGUCUUUAUGAAUCCUGAGUUUCCACCAAGACCUGCAAAGAUGAACACAAAAUGGGGAGCCGAGGAGAGAAAAGACCAUCUCUCUUUCUCAUUUAGGUCCAAAGAGUGAUGAAUGGAUAUGGUAUUGGCUGAGUUGUACUCAGCUGGGUGAUUUCUCUUCAGGAACACGGACUUUCAGAAGCAAAUUUACAUCUGAAGCUGGACUGCUGGUGAAAUGAAUAAUAGAGUUCAGCCCAGGCUGGGAAAAGCAUGGGCUAAACUAUAAGCAUGGUCUCAAGAAGAAUCAAAGCUUGGCCUCUAUAUUAGCUUCCUAAGGCUGCCAUAACAAAGCACCACACCCUGGGUGGCUUAAAACAACAGAACUGUAUUCCCUCACAGUUCUGGAAGCCAGAAGUCUGAAAUCAAAGUGACAGCUGGGCCUUGUUCCCUCUGAAAGGUCUAGAUUGAUGUCAGAGUGGUGUCCAGAGUAGAACUCCAAUGACCCCCCAGGAGCCCUGAGUGAAGGCAAAGGUACCCACCUGGGCCCAUUGUGCCCUUUGACUUCUCACAACAGUUAGGAUCAUGGGUCUCCCUCUCUUGCGGAGCCUGGACUGUACUGCCAUGAUCUCUGCUCGCUGCAACCUUCCUGCCUCGGACUCUGGUGAUUCUCCUGCCUGUGCCUGGGAUGCCAGGCAUGCGCUGCCACUCCUGACUGGUUUUUGUAUUUUUGGUGGAGACAGGGUUUCACCCUGUUGACCAGGCUGGUCUCCAGCUCCUGGCCUCAGGUGAUCUGCCCGCCAUGGCCUCCCGAGGUGCUGGGAUUGCAGACGGAGUCUCGCUCACUCAAUGCUCAAUGUUGCCCAGGCUGGAGUGCAGUGGCGUGAUCUCGGCUCGCUACAACCUCCACCUCCCAGCCGCCUGCCUUGGCCUCCCAAAGUGCUAAGAUUACAGCCUCUGCCCGCCCGCCACCCCAUCUAGGAAGUGAGGAACGUCUCUGCCUGGCCGCCCAUCGUCUGGGAUGUGAGGAGCCCCUCUGCCCGGCUGCCCCGAAUGGGAAGUGAGGAGCGUCUCUGCCCGGCCGCCACCCCGGCCAGGAAGUGAGGAGCAUCUCUGCCUGGCCGCCCAUCAUCAUCUGGGAUGUGAGGAGCCCCUCUGCCUGGCCGCCCCAUCUGGGAAGUGAGGAGCACCUCUGCCCGGCUGCCCCGAAUGGGAAGUGAGGAGCGCCUCUGCCUGGCCGCCCCCAUCUGGGAAGUGAGUAGCGCCUCUGCCCAGCCGCCACCCCAUCUAGGAAGUGAGGAGGGUCUCUGCCUGGCCGCCUAUCAUCUGGGAUGUGAGGAGCCCCUCUGCCUGGCCGCCCCGUCUGGGAAGUGAGGAACGCCUCUGCCCGGCUGCCCCGUCUGGGGUGUGAGGAGCGCCUCUGCCCGGCCGCCCCGUUUGGGAAGCGAGGAGCGCCUCUGCUCGGCCGCCCCGUCUGGGAGGAAGUGAGGAGCGCCUCUACCCCGUUGCCCCAAAUGGGAAGAGAGGAACGCCUCUGCCCGGCCGCCCCAUCUGGGAAGUGAGGAGCGCCUCUGCCCGGAAGCCCCGUCUGGGAGGAGAGGAGCGCCUCUGCCCGGCCGCGCCAUCUGGGAGGUGAGGGGCGUCUCUGCCCCGCCACCACCCCAUCUGGGAAGUGAGGAGCGCCUCAGCCCAGCUGCCACCCCAUCUGAGAGGUGAGGGGCGUCUCUGCCCUGCCGCCCUGCAUGGGAAGAGAGGGGCGCCUCUGCCUGGCCACCCUUCAUCUGGGAGGCGGGGAGCGCCUCUACCUGGCCACCCUUCGUCUGGGAUGUGAGGAGCGCCUCUGUCUGGCUGCCACCCCGUCUGGGAGGUGAGGAGCGCCUCUGCCCGGCCGCCCCAUCUGGGAAGUGAGUAGCGCCUCUGCCAGGCCGCCCUGUCUUGGAAGUGCACCCAACAGCUCCGAAGAGACAGCGACCAUCAAGAACGGGCCAUGAUGACAAUGGCAGUUUUGUCGAAAAGAAAAGGGGGAAAUGUGGGGAAAAGAAAGAGAGAUCAGAUUGUUACUGUGUCUGUGUAGAAAGAAGUAGACAUAGGAGACUCCAUUUUGUUCUGUACUAAGAAAAAUUCUUCUGCCUUGGGAUGCUGUUAAUCUAUAACCUCACCCCCAACCCCGUGCUCUCUGAAACGUGCUGUGUCAACUCAGGGUUAAAUGGAUUAAGGGCGGUGCAAGAUGUGCUUUGUUAAACAGAUGCUUGAAGACAAAAAAAAAAAUUUCUCUAUUUCUUUGUUAUUUCGCCCUUUCAAGUUCUCAUUUGUGUUUACAUUUUGACCAUUAUUUCUUAAUUAUGUUAUCUAAUGAUUUAUGUAUUUCAUUGGUUCAAAGAACUAGAGCUGGAAUUUAUUUAUUAGUACUUUUAAUCUGUUUUCUAAUUUGUUAAUUCCCACUUUUAUCACUACUGAUACUUUCCUUCUAGAGUCCUUCUAUAUAUUUUGGUAUGCUGUUUCUAACUUUUUGAGCAUAAUGCUUGAUUCAUUUUAUUCUUUCUUUUGCUAUUUAAGGCUAUGAUUUUUUUCUCUGUACACUGCUUUAUCUGUGUAGUGGUUUUCUCAUGCUGCCAUAACAAAGUACCACAAACUGGGUAUCUUAAACCCAGUUCAAGACUCGCAGUUUUCUGAAAGCUGGAAGUACAGUGUCAAGGCAUCAUUAGGGUUGGUUCCCUCUGAGGGCUGUGAAGGAGAAUCUGCCCCAUGCCUCUUCCCCAGCUUCUGGUGGUUUGCUGGCAAUCUUUGGCAGUCCUUGGCUUGUAGAAGCAUCACCCUGAUCUUGCCUUCUCUUCACAUAGUGUUCUCCCUAUAUGUGUGUAUCUGUGUCCAAAUUUCCCCUUUUUUAUGAGGAUACCAGUCAUAUUUGGUGAGGACACCCCUUCUAAUGACUUCAUUUUAACUCGAUUACCUCUGUAAAGACCUUAUCUCCAAAUAAGAUUACAGUUUGAGAUAAUGAGGGUUAGGACUUCAACAUAUGAUUUGGGUACACAACUCAACCCAUAUUAUCCCACAAAUUCUGAUAAAGAGUACUUGCAUUACUGUUUUUUCCUAAAACAAUCUUCCAUUUUUAUUUGUAUUUCCUCUCUGAGCAUUAAGAGAUCCUUUAUAAUUUCCAGAUGGAAGGAGUUUUUGCUUUCUCUUUUGUUAUCAGUGUUUAGUUUUAAUGAAUUAUAGUUACACAAUGUUAUCCAUACUAUGUCUAUUUUUUGGAAUUUAUUAAAUAUUUCUUUAUGAGUUAAUAUAUGAUCACUUUCUAUGAAUGUUUUCACAGCUUUUGAAAAAACAAAAAACUUAUUCUGUGUUCUUCAGUUACAUGGAUUAAUCACGUCUGUCUCAUUAAUUACUUAGGCAUUCUAUAUCCCUGUUUAUUAUUGUCCUCUUGGCAUAAAAUAGACAGAGAAAAGUGAAUUAAAUUCCCUUUCUAUUCGUAUUUCUGCUUAUUUCUUCUGUCUAAUUUCUGCUUUAUGAAGGUGGAUGCUAUAUUAUUUGGCAUAUAGUUAUUUAUAAAUAUUAUCUUAAACUGAUUUAUAUCCUUUAUGUAAAAAGGUACCCUUCCUUCCCUAUUUAAUGAUAUUUGUCUUGAAUUCUAUGUUGUGUGAUAUUAAGAUAUCCGUCACUGCUUUCUUUGCAUUUGUAUUUCUCUGGUGUGUAUUUAACUCUUAAACUUUGUGA
rnacentral:lncRNA from 10 species